rnacentral:rRNA from 1 species
UAAAGAGAGUGCAAACGUUGUUCGGAAUUACUGGGCGUAAAGCGCGGGCAGGCGGCUCGAUGCGUCUGAUGUGAAAUCUCCUCGCUCAACGGGGAGAGGCCAUUGGAAACGGUCGAGCUGGAGGGCAGUAGAGGUAGGCGGAAUUCCGGGUGGAGUGGUGAAAUGCGUAGAGAUCCGGAGGAACACCAGAGGCGAAGGCGGCCUACUGGGCUGCACCUGACGCUGAGCCGCGAAAGCCAGGGGAGCGAACGGG